AUGCAGGGGGUUGCCGGAGGCGGGGGAAACAUUCGCCGCACUGCUACUCGUCGCGGUGCUGCAACGCAGCAUGAAGGAGGUGGCCGGAGGCUACGCUGCUCGUCGCCGGUUUGCAAAGCAACAUGGGGAGGCCGGAGGUGGGCGUUCGCCGGGGUGAGCUGCGUCCCUGUGGAUCUCACCACGACAGCGGAGCUGCAGUGCAGCACAAGCAGCCGCGACCCCGUGGAGCUCGCCGCCGGCGGUGCUGCAGUGAAGCUUUCGUCAGCGGCCUCUAGUGCUGCCUUGCAGCGCUCGCCGGCGGCUGUCGACGCUGCAGUGCAGUGCUCGGUGUUCCAAUGGAACUUGUCGGCGGCUUCCGAAGCUAAAUUGCAGCGCUCGGUGCUCCAAUGGAGCUCUCGCCGGCGUGAAGCUCUCGACAGCGGUUCUCGAAGCUGUGAUGCAGCGGCCGGUGGUGGCUCAGGUCUUGCGAGGCAGUGCUUGUCGGCGGCAACCGUUGCAAGGCGCUUCAAUGGAGCCCUCAUUGGUGGCUCCCGGUGCUGCGUUGCAGCGCUUGACGAGCCUUGGAGCUGCGACGCAAGGCUCGAUGUUAGUGCUACAGUGAAGCUCUCGGCGGUGGCUCUCGGAGCUGUGAUGCAGCGGCCGGUGGUGGCUCAGGAUCUGACGCCUCUCCCGCGGCUUUUCACCGACGAGGAUCGUCGUGUCCAUCGGAGGCGGCAGCGUCGUCUCGCCAUCGCAGAGAAGGACGUGGAAGCCUUGGUGCUGUGGCGAGGAGGCUUCCCGCAGGACAUCGUCGACGAGCGCCAGUUCUAUAAGCAAUCGAGAUCGGAGAGGGACGCGAGGAGGAGGGAGCGAGCCGCCUAUCGGGAGGACAAGCGUUCGGGGAAGCAGGCAGCUCAAUUAAAACUGAAGCUACAAAAAACGUCGGGUUGGGACUUUGAAGACUAG
rnacentral:rRNA from 1 species